AUUGAACGCUGGCGGCAGGCCUAACACAUGCAAGUCGAGCGGAUGAAGGGAGCUUGCUCCUGGAUGCAGCGGCGGACGGGUGAGUAAUGCCUAGGAAUCUGCCUGAUAGUGGGGGAUAACGUCCGGAAACGGGCGCUAAUACCGCAUACGUCCUGAGGGAGAAAGUGGGGGAUCUUCGGACCGCACGCUAUCAGAUGAGCCUAGGUCGAAUUAGCUAGUUGGUGGGGUAAAGGGCUACCAAGGCGACGAACCGUAACUGGUCUGAGAGGAUGAUCAGUCACACUGGAACUGAGACACGGUCCAGACUCCUACGGGAGGCAGCAGUGGGGAAUAUUGGACAAUGGGCGAAAGCCUGAUCCAGCCAUGCCGCGUGUGUGAUGAAGGUCUUCGGAUUGUAAAGCACUUUAAGUUGGGAGGAAGGGAAGUAAGUUAAUACCUUGCUGUUUUGACGUUACCAACAGAAUAAGCACCGGCUAACUUCGUG
rnacentral:rRNA from 1 species